rnacentral:rRNA from 1 species
CAGUAGCCGCGGUAAUACGAGGGGGGCAAGCGUUGUUCGGAAUUAUUGGGCGUAAAGGGUGCGUAGGCGGCUUGACAAGUCUUGUGUGAAAUCUAUGGGCUCAACCCAUAGUCUGCACGGGAAACUGUCGGGCUUGAGAAUGGGAGAGGUGAGUGGAAUUUAUGGUGUAGCAGUGAAAUGCGUAGAUAUCAUAAGGAACACCGGUGGCGAAGGCGGCGACCUGGUCCUUGACUGACGCUGAGGCGCGAAAGCGUGGGGAGCAAACAGGAUUAGAUACCCCCGUAGUCCCUGUCUCUUAUAA